AAGAUAGAGGCGCGUCUUUUAAAAGUAUGGCGGGGCGAGAUUGCCAGAAUCGUGAGCAGCCCGGCCAGAAAGGAAAAGUCGCCGAAGGGGGCAGCGCGGCGGCUGCCGGCCUGGUCGCAUGGCCGAAGAGGCGUGCGACUGUCAUCGUUGCAGGAAUGAUGAAGCGCUAUCC
rnacentral:ncRNA from 1 species